GACGAACGCUGGCGGCGUGCUUAACACAUGCAAGUCGAACGGAAAGGCCUUUUCGGAGGUACUCGAGUGGCGAACGGGUGAGUAACACGUGGGUGAUCUGCCCUGCACUCUGGGAUAAGCCUGGGAAACUGGGUCUAAUACCGGAUAGGAUCGCACUUUAGUGUGUGUGGUGGAAAGUUUUUUCGGUGUAGGAUGAGCCCGCGGCCUAUCAGCUUGUUGGUGGGGUAAUGGCCUACCAAGGCGGCGACGGGUAGCCGGACUGAGAGGUUGGUCGGCCACAUUGGGACUGAGAUACGGCCCAGACUCCUACGGGAGGCAGCAGUGGGGAAUAUUGCACAAUGGGCGCAAGCCUGAUGCAGCGACGCCGCGUGGGGGAUGACGGCCUUCGGGUUGUAAACUCCUUUCGCCAGGGACGAAGCGUUUUGUGACGGUACCUGGAGAAGAAGCACCGGCUAACUACGUG
rnacentral:rRNA from 1 species